UUUAUUUUUUCAGAUUUUUUUAUAUAUAUGCAUACGUAUAAUAUAGCCCAAUAGGCCUAAAAAUCAGCCCAACAGAUUGACAAUGUGCAGCCCAGCGUGCUAAACGGACCAACGUGCCGGCCCGUUUACUAAAUAGGUUGUGCCUGGGCCUGGAGGCGCAGCACGUGGGUCGGCACGGCAUGACCCGUUUGGCCAGCUCUGCAUCAAACUGCUUCGGCUCAAUAAAGAAUUUCAAAUACCCUUAAAAAAAGAAUUUCAAUCUUCUAAAGAAAAUAAUACAAAUACUCAACACUAACUCUUUUUGCAAUGGAAAUACUUAAUACUCCCUCCUUUCCGAUUUAUAGGGCUCAAAUUUAAAAUCUCAUCAACCAAGGCAUAUGCUGAGUGAAGGAAUGUAGCUCGUACUCCCUCUGUUCCGUAUUAUUUGUCGUUGGGCAUUCACAGUUCAACUUCUGUCACGUUCAUUCUCUUUUUGACUUUCCAACUUUACCCCUCCUUCGCCGCUGUCGCCGCAGCUCCCACUCACUCGCUCGCUGUCUCCCUCUCCCUUUCCUCGUCGCCGCCCUCUCCCUCUCUUCUCUGUCGCCGCAGCUCCGCCGCAGCUAUGCCGGCCGCAGCUCCUUCGCCCCACCCCGUACGCCCUCCUGCACGACCUCGCCGCGCUCGAGCUCGCGGCCCUAUCCGCCCGCGCCGCCGCCUCCCUGGGGGGCGCAGCCGGCCUGCCGCAAGUACACCUACGCCGCCGCCUCCCGGGGGCCGCAAGGUGAAGUGGACGGCCGAGGAGAAGGCUCGCGGCGAGGGCCGGGCGCUCAACUGCGAGGCAGAGCUCGCCUCCCCCAACGACGGCGGCUUCGACCUGGGAGGCCUAGUCCGAGCCGGCGCCGCCGGCAAGGCCAAGACCAAGUGAGGCGCCGAGGAAGCCAGCGACGAUGACAAGAAGAAGCCGGCGAGGAAGUGCAUCCAGAUCGAGGAGAUCCCGCCGGCUGUGACGUCCAGAUCAAGAUUCUCUGCGCUGUCCGGGAUGAGAAGAGGAGCAGCAAGAAUCAAGCCCAAUACAGAGAGGAGAGGAGCAGCAGAAGUGGACAGCACAACGGCUGACCUCGAGCUCUUGAUUGGAGUGGGGGGAGGCGGCCGGCGAGGGAUCUGUGGCCAGCAGGGAAGGAUCUGAAGCUGCGGCGGAGCAGGCAGCCGGCGAGGGAGCUGCGGAUCGCGGCCGGGAAGGGCGGCCGGCGAGGGAGCUGCGGACCGCGGCCGGGAAGGGCGGCCGGCGAGGGAGCUGCGGACCGCCGCGGGGAAGGGCGGCCGGCGUGGCAGCUUCGGACCGCGGCGGGGAAGGACGCCAGAGUUGCGGACGGCAGAGGAGCCCGGCGGAAGGGAGGAGUGACGGCGGAGAAGCCUGGCGGAGGGGAGGAGCGACGUAGGAAGACGCCUCCUGAUCGAUUUCAAAUCGGGGGUACUUCCGUAAUUUCACAUCAUUUCACCUGGUCGGAACAGAACCUCCAGCGACAAAUAAUAUGGAACAGAGGGAGUACUUUACAAAACUACCCAAACUAAAUUGAUGCAUUAAUUGAGAUUAAUUGCAGUGCAUGCAUGCUUGACCA